UCCACGGCCAGACUCGAAGGAAAAACUACCUAAAGCAGUCACCGAUUCCACUAGUGUCUGUCGCCGAUUCCACCUUUGUGAAUCGCCGACUCCCAUAGUGAAUCACCGACUCCACUUGGUUUUUUCUCGAGCCUCUGCUCAGCUCAAAAAUCAAGAAAACCUAAGGCCAGUCGCCGACUCCACCUACUGAGUCGCCGACUCCACUGGGUUUCUUUUGAGUUAGUCCAAUCAAUACCUACGCUCCGGUUGGCAUUCGCUUUUGUCAUCCAUGACAUCUGAAAAGCGUGAUUACCAUCUGAGAAAUGAGGGUAAAUCCUCAGUGGUACCCGACGGGGCACAAAUUGAGCAUCCUCAACCAAACAUACAAGUUGAGA
rnacentral:lncRNA from 1 species